ensembl:snoRNA
GUGUCAUUACAAAGAAGGUUUGUUGAACUGUGAAACCAGGGACUCUGAAUGCUAUGACCAAAGAUUGAAGUUCUCCGUGGAAUGCCACACUCACUCAGUAGUGCUGUAUUUUCCCGGGGAGAUAAAAUA